UGGCUCAGAACGAACGCUGGCGGCAGGCUUAACACAUGCAAGUCGAACGCCUGUAGCAAUACAGGAGUGGCAGACGGGUGAGUAACACGUGGGAACGUGCCCUUCGGUUCGGAAUAACUCAGGGAAACUUGGGCUAAUACCGAAUACGUCCGCAAGGAGAAAGAUUCAUCGCCGAAGGAUCGGCCCGCGUCCGAUUAGCUAGUUGGUGGGGUAAUGGCCCACCAAGGCGACGAUCGGUAGCUGGUCUGAGAGGAUGAUCAGCCACACUGGGACUGAGACACGGCCCAGAGACCUACGGGAGGCAGCA
rnacentral:rRNA from 1 species